UCACCUUUAUAGUUUUUUGUUUCACUUCAGUUAAUUAAAUUAUUAUUAUUAAAGUAGUUUUGAAGAAGAUUACAGGGGGCCCCCAAUUUACGAACAGGUUCCGUUCCUUGUGACAUUCUUUUUCGGAUUUGUACUUAGGCUGUGAUAUAGUGUGAUUUUAAACAUUGUUCUGUAAGUAUGGUAUGCUCAUGGCGCGUGUUCCUACUUAAGUACAAAUCCGAAAAAGAAUGUCAUAAGGAACGGAACCUGUUCGUAAAUUGGGGGCCCCCUGUAAUCUUCUUCAAAACUACUUUAAUAAUAAUAAUUUAAUUAACUGAAGUGAAACAAAAACUAGAAAGGUGAAGAAAAAAAAAAGUAGUACUAGUAAAAGUGCACCAAGGCUAUACAGUCUACUGUAGGUACACAAAAUGAGCACUUCUAGGCAUGCAAGACUAUAUAGCCUACAGUACUGUACAUUAAUUUACAUGUACAGGUAUCCUCUAACAUACUGUAUAGCACUAAGGGUUCUAAGUUAAAAAACAUAUUGAAUGGUAGAACUCUUGUAUUAUGUUCUGGGAGGGAAAAAUCAGUCAACUGGUGGGUUUUUCACCAAUAUAAUUCUUGUAAAAUAAUAAAUACAUUCUGCAAUAGUGCCAAUGCACCACUGGGCUAUACUGACCGUGUGACUGAGGGGAAUUUGUUAAGUCAAACUGAUAUUUUUGUAAUAAUGAUUGUUCAUUUAUUGGACAUACUGUAAGUAUCUUGGGGGAUACCUGUACUUUAUUAAAAUAUAUGAUGAGCCUAUCUGUGUUAAACUGAACCCUGUAAGUUACUAACACACAGUUGCUAACUAUUUUAAUACCAAUGCCAGAUAACACUCUCUCCUCCUGUACUGUAGUCUUCAAUCACUAUUACAUCAAGGCUUCAGUUCACCUCAAAUGGUAACAUAAUCUGCCAAGAAUCAGUAGAUAAGUUUUCUUCUGUACAGGAGCCGUGAUAUAAGGUGCUGUGCUGUGUUGCUGCAGGACCAGACGUCUCCUCCUGUGUCAAGUACAACUUAUUACAGAAAUAUCAAGAUACACCAUAUGUAUGGCACUUAGAUAAAAUACUUAACAAUGG